UUGUGGGUGGAUCCACAAUAAGUUCUCAGGCUAUGCUGAAGCAGGAGGUUUCUACUGCUUCAUCAAAAGGCACUACUAUUAAAACAGGUGAUCGAGUAAAAUUUGUUGGUAACUUCCCUUCUGCUGUCUCAUCAAUACAAAAUCAUCCUUCAAGACUUCAAUUGAUGCUGCAAACUAUGACAGGGUGAUGUUACUGGGUGGAA